rnacentral:rRNA from 1 species
CGAAGAACCUUACCUAGGCUUGACAUGCAGGAAUUAGCCGGCGGAAACGUCGGUGACGCCGCAAGGUGGAAUCUGCACAGGUGCUGCAUGGCUGUCGUCAACUCGUGCCGUGAGGUGUUGGGUUAAGUCCCGUAACGAGCGAANCCCUUGUGUCCAGUUGCCAGCGCGUAAAGGCGGGGACUCUGGACAGACCGCCGGUAUUAAACCGGAGGAAGGCGGGGACGACGUCAAGUCAUCAUGGCCCUUAUGCCUAGGGCUGCACACGUACUACAAUGGGCCGGACAAAGCGACGCAAGACCGCGAGGUGGAGCAAAUCGCAAAAACCGUCCCCCAGUU